rnacentral:rRNA from 1 species
UACGGAGGGUGCGAGCGUUGUCCGGAAUCACUGGGCGUAAAGGGCGCGUAGGCGGCGAGGAUAGUCAACGGUGAAAGCUUGGGGCUCAACCCCGAGUCGGCCGUCGAUACUUCCUUGCUUGAGCACUGUAGAGGCAGAUGGAAUUCCGGGUGUAGCGGUGGAAUGCGUAGAGAUCCGGAGGAACACCAGCGGCGAAGGCGGCAUCCUGGACUGGUCCUGACACUCAGGAGCGAAAGCGUGGGGAGCGAUCCGG